rnacentral:rRNA from 1 species
AAGGAUCAUUAGAUUGAAUUAUCAUUGUUGCUCGAGUUCUUGUUUAGAUCUUUUACAAUAAUGUGUAUCUUUAUUGGAGAUGUGCGCUUAAUUGCGCUGCUUCAUUAGAGUGUCGCAGUAGAAGYAGUCUUGCUUGAAUCUCAGUCAACGUUUACACACAUUGGAGUUUUUUACUUUAAUUUAAUUCUUUCUGCUUUGAAUCGAAAGGUUCAAGGCAAAAAACAAACACAAACAAUUUUAUUUUAUUAUAAUUUUUUAAACUAAACCAAAAUUCCUAACGGAAAUUUUAAAAUAAUUUAAAACUUUCAACAACGGAUCUCUUGGUUCUCGCAUCGAUGAAGAACGUAGCGAAUUGCGAUAAGUAAUGUGAAUUGCAGAUACUCGUGAAUCAUUGAAUUUUUGAACGCACAUUGCGCCCUUGAGCAUUCUCAAGGGCAUGCCUGUUUGAGCGUCAUUUCCUUCUCAAAAGAUAAUUUUUUAUUUUUUGGUUGUGGGCGRUACUCAGGGUUAGCUUGAAAUUGGAGACUGUUUCAGUCUUUUUUAAUUCAACACUUAGCUUCUUUGGAGACGCUGUUCUCGCUGUGAUGUAUUUAUGGAUUUAUUCGUUUUACUUUACAAGGGAAAUGGUAAUGUACCUUAGGCAAAGGGUUGCUUUUAAUAUUCAUCAAGUUUGACCUCAAAUCAGGUAGGAUUACCCGCUGAACUUAAGCAUAUCAAUAAGCGGAGGAAAAGAAACCAACUGGGAUUACCUUAGUAACGGCGAGUGAAGCGGUAAAAGCUCAAAUUUGAAAUCUGGUACUUUCAGUGCCCGAGUUGUAAUUUGUAGAAUUUGUCUUUGAUUAGGUCCUUGUCUAUGUUCCUUGGAACAGGACGUCAUAGAGGGUGAGAAUCCCGUUUGGCGAGGAUACCUUUUCUCUGUAAGACUUUUUCGAAGAGUCGAGUUGUUUGGGAAUGCAGCUCAAAGUGGGUGGUAAAUUCCAUCUAAAGCUAAAUAUUGGCGAGAGACCGAUAGCGAACAAGUACAGUGAUGGAAAGAUGAAAAGAACUUUGAAAAGAGAGUGAAAAAGUACGUGAAAUUGUUGAAAGGGAAGGGCAUUUGAUCAGACAUGGUGUUUUUUGCAUGCACUYGCCUCUCGUGGGCUUGGGCCUCUCAAAAAUUUCACUGGGCCAACAUCAAUUCUGGCAGUAGGAUAAAUCAUUAAGAAUGUAGCUACCUCGGUAGUGUUAUAGCUUAUUGGAAUACUGCUAGCUGGGAUUGAGGACUGCGCUUCGGCAAGGAUGUUGGCAUAAUGGUUAAAUGCCGC